rnacentral:rRNA from 1 species
AUUGAACGCUGGAGGCAUGCCUAACACAUGCAAGUCGAACGGCAGCAUGGUACAGUUUACUGUACUGAUGGCGAGUGGCGAACGGGUGAGUAAUACGUGGAGAUAUACCUUGAAGAGGGGGAUAACUUAGGGAAACUUAAGCUAAUACCGCAUGAGCUCUAAGGAGGAAAGCUGGGGACCUGAGAGGGCCUGGCGCUUUAAGAUUAAUCCACGUCUGAUUAGCUAGUUGGUGGGGUAAGGGCCUACCAAGGCGACGAUCAGUAGCUGGUCUGAGAGGAUGGACAGCCACACUGGGACUGAGACACGGCCCAGACUCCUACGGGAGGCAGCAGUGGGGAAUAUUGGACAAUGGGGGCAACCCUGAUCCAGCAAUGCCGCGUGUGUGAAGAAGGCCUGAGGGUUGUAAAGCACUAUCGUUGGGGAGGAGGGUUUAUUGGUUAAGAGCUGAUGAACUGGACGUUACCUGAAGAAGAAGCACCGGCUAACUCCGUGCCAGCCGCCGCCGUAA